rnacentral:tRNA from 1 species
GCGCUCGUAGCUCAGCUGGAUAGAGUGACGGCCUCCGAAGCCGUAGGUCGCGCGUUCGAAUCGCGCCGAGCGCA